rnacentral:rRNA from 1 species
AGAGUUUGAUCCUGGCUCAGGAUGAACGCUAGCUACAGGCUUAACACAUGCAAGUCGAGGGGCAGCAUGGUCUUAGCUUGCUAAGGCCGAUGGCGACCGGCGCACGGGUGAGUAACGCGUAUCCAACCUGCCGUCCAGUAGGGGACAGCCCGUAGAAAUGCGGAUUAAUACCCUAUGUUCUCCGAGGAUGACAUCAGAUUCGGAGUAAAGAUUCAUCGCUGGACGAUGGGGAUGCGUCUGAUUAGGCAGCAGGCGGGGCAACGGCCCACCUGGCCAACGAUCAGUAGGGGUUCUGAGAGGAAGGUCCCCCACAUUGGAACUGAGACACGGUCCAAACUCCUACGGGAGGCAGCAGUGAGGAAUAUUGGUCAAUGGGCGCGAGCCUGAACCAGCCAAGUAGCGUGAGGGAAGACUGCCCUACGGGUUGUAAACCUCUUUUGUUCGGGAAUAAAGUGCGGCACGCGUGCCGUUUUGUAUGUACCGUUCGAAUAAGGACCGGCUAAUUCCGUGCCAGCAGCCGCGGUAAUACGGAAGGUCCGGGCGUUAUCCGGAUUUAUUGGGUUUAAAGGGGGCGCAGGCCGGAUGGUAAGCGUGACGUGAAAUGUGGCGGCUCAACCGCCGAACUGCGUCGCGAACUGCCGUUCUUGAGUGCAGACGAGGUGGGCGGAAUUCGUGGUGUAGCGGUGAAAUGCUUAGAUAUCACGAAGAACUCCGAUUGCGAAGGCAGCCCACCAGGGUGUAACUGACGCUAAAGCUCGAAAGUGCGGGUAUCGAACAGGAUUAGAUACCCUGGUAGUCCGCACGGUAAACGAUGGAUGCCCGCGGUUUGGGAUACAAAGUAAGGGGCCAAGCGAAAGCGUUAAGCAUCCCACCUGGGGGAGUACGCCGGCAAACGGUGGAACUCAAAAGGAAUUGACGGGGGCCCCGCACAAAGCGGAGGAACAUGUGGUUUAAUUCGAUGAUACGCGAGGAACCUUUCCCGGGCUUGAACUGCAGGAGAACGAUCCAGAGAUGGUGAGGUCCUUCGGGACUCCUGUGGAGGUGCUGCAUGGUUGUCGUCAGCUCGUGCCGUGAGGUGUCGGCUUAAGUGCCAUAACGAGCGCAACCCUCUCUGCCAGUUGCCAUCAGGUGAUGCUGGGCACUCUGGCGGUACUGCCACCGUAAGGUGUGAGGAAGGUGGGGAUGACGUCAAAUCAGCACGGCCCUUACGUCCGGGGCUACACACGUGUUACAAUGGGUGAUACAGAAGGCAGGACCUGCGCAAGCCGGUUCGAAUCUUAAAAGUCAUCCUCAGUUCGGAUUGGGGUCUGCAACCCGACCCCAUGAAGCUGGAUUCGCUAGUAAUCGCGCAUCAGCCAUGGCGCGGUGAAUACAAUCCCGGGCCUUGCACUCACCGCCCGUCA